rnacentral:ncRNA from 1 species
GGAAAGUUGAAAAGCACUUUGGAGAGAGAGUUAAAAAGUACGUGAAACCGUCGAGAGGCAAACGGGAGGGCCUGUCGGGUCGUUCGGUCGCUUUCAGGCGGGCCGGAGACCGGGUCGCGGGAUCGGGGACCUUCGCGGGCCUCGACUCGCGUCGCCGGCCGACGGCUCGGCGCACUAGCGUCGGACGAGGGCCGCGACCGGCUGGGCGGCGGGCAAACGGCUCCGGGCAAGGUAACCCCGCUUCGGCGGGGUGCUACAGGCCCGGUGCGCGCAAGGGUCGCCGCCCGGUCGAGGAGAGAUGCGCGCCGCACCUGCCCCGUUCGCGGGGCCGGGGAAGCCGUUCGAGCAGCGUCGUGUCGCGGUCCGGGACUGUCCUCAGUCCCGGGUCGUCUCGGCGCGGUUCCGAGCGGUCGCUCCCUCGCGAGGUGCCGCGGGUCAGCGGCUGACGCCAGCCACCUUCCCGACCCGUCUUGAAACACGGACCAAGGAGUCUAACAUGUGCGCGAGCCGCUGGGCAGUACGAAACCCGUAAGGCGAAAUGAAGGUGAACGCCGGCGCGGUCCGGCGGAGGUUGGAUCCCGUCCCGUCGGGGCGGGCGCACUACCGGCCGAUCUUCUCCGCCCUGUCGGCGAGGUCGAGCGAGAGCGUGCAAGUCGGGACCCGAAAGAUGGUGAACUAUGCCUGAGGAGGUUGAAGCCAGAGGAAACUCUGGUGGAGGACCGUAGCGAUUCUGACGUGCAAAUCGAUCGUCAAAUUUGGGUAUAGGGGCGAAAGACUAAUCGAACCGUCUAGUAGCUGGUUCCCUUCGAAGUUUCCCUCAGGAUAGC